rnacentral:lncRNA from 1 species
ACCAUUGCUCACAGAUACGCCAAUGAGUUGAGUUGUAAAAGGAGAAUUCCAUCAUGAAGCUAUGCCAAUUUCUUUAGAUAACCGAUAAAUUUUCUAUUUGGUAUUGUAUCCUCCAUCUGAUCGAAGUACCUUUAGGAUUUUUUUGAUUUAUUUUUCUUCUUCACAUCUGAAUUCUUUGAACCUUUUAAAGUCUUUCAAAUUUAUAUCUCACAUAUAUAUACCUAUACCAUGACUAUUCAUCAAUAAAGGUGAUGAAGUAGUGAUAACCUCCUAAUCUGGCUCAUCAAAUGGGCCAUGCACAUUAUAUAUGUACUAGGGUAAGUAUCUCAGUGGUCCUAGAG